rnacentral:rRNA from 1 species
GAGUUUGAUUAUGGCUCAGAACGAACGCUGGCGGCGCGUCUUAAGCAUGCAAGUCGAACGGUAAGGGAGAGCUUGCUCUCCCCUAGAGUGGCGGACUGGUGAGUAACGCGUAGGUGACCUACCCUGAAGAUGGGGAUAGCUAGUAGAAAUAUUAGAUAAUACCGAAUAAGCUCAUUUGCAUAAAGGCAGAUGAGGAAAGGAGCUACGGCUCCGCUUUAGGAUGGGCCUGCGUCCCAUUAGCUAAGUUGGUGAGGUAAAGGCUUACCAAGGCAACGAUGGGUAUCCGGCCUGAGAGGGUGAACGGACACAUUGGGACUGAGAUACGGCCCAAACUCCUACGGGAGGCAGCAGCUAAGAAUCUUCCGCAAUGGACGAAAGUCUGACGGAGCGACGCCGUGUGAAUGAAGAAGGCUGAAAAGUUGUAAAAUUCUUUUGCAGAUGAAGAAUAAGGAUAGGAGGGAAUGCCUAUCU